rnacentral:rRNA from 1 species
ACACGUAGGGGGCGAGCGUUGUUCGGAAUCAUUGGGCGUAAAGGGCGCGCAGGCGGCGAGGCAAGUCCGGUGUGAAAGUGCUCGGCUCAACCGAGUGAUGCGCUGGAAACUGCCCUGCUUGAGUACAGGAGGGGACGUCGGCAUUCCAGUGGGAGGGGGGAAAUCUGUAGAUAUCUGGAAGAACCCCGGUGGCGAAGGCGGACGUCUGGCCAUGUACUGACGCUGAGGCGCGAAGGUGCGGGGAGCGAACAGGUUUAGAUACCCUGGUAGUCCGCACAGUAAACGAUGUGCACCAGGUGGCGGGGGGUAGCCCUCGGUACCGAAGCCAACGCAUUAAGUGCACCGCCUGGGGAGUAUGCUCGCAAGGGUGAAACUCAAAGGAAUUGGCGGGG